rnacentral:SRP_RNA from 1 species
AGAGGCUGGCGCGGGCAGGCGCCUCGCCAACCCGGUCAGGUCCGGAAGGAAGCAGCCGUAACGAGUCCCGCCUGGGUCGCUGUCCAGCCUCUCAC